rnacentral:lncRNA from 1 species
AUGGACGUUGUAUGUCAACAUGAUAAAUUAAAUUUAUAACCUGGCCUAGUUGAAAAAAAAGCCAAACACUCUACAGUAAAAAAAACACAUGAAGACCACUAAAUAAGCAUUGCCAACUGGAAAACAAAAAUAUGAUAAACAAAACAACUUUCUAUUCAAGAGGAUCUGACCCAACUUAAACAUGAGCAAAAGUAUAUCCACAAAAUAAACCAUCUAUACGAAACAUAUACACAACACCAACAUACACAAUACUUCAGCACUAUAGACAUAAAGCAAUUUCAAGAAUUCUGAGAACAGAAAUUAAACAACUUUUUAA